rnacentral:rRNA from 1 species
AUUGAACGCCGGCGGCAUGGCUAAAACAUGCAAGUCGAACGAGAACCUCGCAAGAGGGGACAGUGGCGGAAGGGUCAGUAAUGCGAUCGAAUGUACCCCAAGGUGGGGGAUAGGUCGGGGAAACCCGGCGUAAUACCCCAUGUGCUCUCCGGAGCAAAGAUUCAUCGCCUUGGGAGCAGCGGUCGUCCUAUCAGGUAGUUGGCGGGGUAAGAGCCCACCAAGCCGAAGACGGGUAGCGGGUGGAGAGCACGGCCCGCGACAUCGGGACUGAGACACUGCCCGGACUCCUACGGGAGGCAGCAGUGGGGAAUCUUGCGCAAUGGGCGAAAGCCUGACGCAGCGACGCCGCGUGAGGGAUGACGGCCU